rnacentral:rRNA from 1 species
GUGGGGAAUAUUGGACAAUGGGCGAAAGCCUGAUCCAGCCAUGCCGCGUGUGUGAAGAAGGUCUUCGGAUUGUAAAGCACUUUAAGUUGGGAGGAAGGGCAGUAAGUUAAUACCUUGCUGUUUUGACGUUACCGACAGAAUAAGCACCGGCUAACUUCGUGCCAGCAGCCGCGGUAAUACGAAGGGUGCAAGCGUUAAUCGGAAUUACUGGGCGUAAAGCGCGCGUAGGUGGUUUUGUAAGUUGGAGGUGAAAUCCACGGGCUCAACCUGGGAACUGCCUCCAAAACUGCAUGACUAGAGUACGGUAGAGGGUAGUGGAAUUUCCUGUGUAGCGGUGAAAUGCGUAGAUAUAGGAAGGAACACCAGUGGCGAAGGCGACUACCUAGACUGAUACUGACACUGAGGUGCGAAAGCGUGGGGAGCAAACAGGAUUAGAUACCCCUGUAGUCC